rnacentral:lncRNA from 1 species
CAGUGUUCUACACCCCAAGGGAGAUGACCUUUGUGGCCCAGCAGUUCUAACAUGAGUGAAAUGGGCUGUGUGCUGGCCAGAGCCUCCUCUCCACUACGACUGCCUGGAGUUGGCUGGGUAUGGGCUUCCUGGCCCUGCAGAAAGAAUCUGAUGUACAUCUCUAGGGGAGCUGAUCCUGAAGCACAUGUGCUGAAGGAGUGUGUCCACCACCCUUGACGAAG